CGUAAGGCGCCGAAUGAGUCAUUAUAAAAUUAACAUCAUCCGAUCCCUAGUCGGCAUAGUUUAUGGUUAAGACUACGACGGUAUCUGAUCGUCUUCGAUCCCCUAACUUUCGUUCUUGAUUAAUGAAAACAUCCUUGGCAAAUGCUUUCGCAGUAGUUAGUCUUCAAUAAAUCCAAGAAUUUCACCUUUGACAAUUGAAUACUAAUGCCCCCAACUAUCCCUAUUAAUCAUUACGUCAAUCCUAGAAACCAACAAAAUAGGAUCGAACGUCCUAUUUCAUUAUUCCAUGCUAAUGUAUUCAAGCGUUAGCUUGCUUUAAACACUCUAAUUUUUUCAAAGUAACAGUCCAGUUUCCCUGCAACACCAAAUUAAUGGCAUUACAGUUCAUCAGGAAGGAGGAGUCAGUGAGACCAGUACGUACCAGUGGCACGACCAACCUACUAACCCCGAAAUUCAACUACGAGCUUUUUAACUGCAACAACUUUAAUAUACGCUAUUGGAGCUGGAAUUACCGCGGCUG
rnacentral:rRNA from 1 species